rnacentral:rRNA from 1 species
CACGUAGGGGGCGAGCGUUGUUCGGAAUCAUUGGGCGUAAAGGGCGCGCAGGCGGCGUAUAAAGUCUGGCGUGAAAGUCCCCGGCUCAACCGGGGGAUAGCGUUGGAAACUGGUAUGCUUGAGUACGAGAGGGGAUGGCGGAAUUCCAGGUGUAGGGGUGAAAUCUGUAGAUAUCUGGAGGAACACCGACGGCGAAGGCAGCCAUCUGGUUCAGUACUGACGCUGAGGCGCGAAGGUGCGGGGAGCAAACAGGUUUAGAUACC